GCCGCGUGGAUCUGGACAGGCAGACAGGUCUGUGAGGCGAGGAACAGGUGGUGCAGUGUAGACCUGGACUGGCCGCGAUGUGGAGUUGGCGGUGAGGUGUGGAGACUGACCGUCAGCGGAACCAGUAGCCUGGAGCAGGGCUGCACAAUGAAACGAAGGAUGAGGUGGAGGAGUCUCACAGUCUGUGAGGAAAGAAGCUGGUCGUACGGCAGCAGAUACUUCUGUGUCUCUUGCCAGGUGGCAGCAGGGUGAAAAGGCUGUGGCUGUGGUGAGUAUUGUCUUUUAGUAUCCUUAGAGCUCUGCGCAGACACCUCACCUCUCUGAUAUCACUGAUGCUUGGUCGAUGGGUACCAUUGAUGUUCUGGGCGGUUUUAAUCACCCGCUGCAGAGCCAAGUCAACUUGUGACCAAACCUCUCAUUUUCACACUACAUCCCUAGCACCAGAUAGCUGACAAAACUAGCAACAUAGUGGAGUAUUUAGCAGCUAAAGAGCCAGAUAUUAUUUUCAGGAGUUGGGGGAGA